rnacentral:tmRNA from 1 species
AACCUUUAAUUCAGAGCUUUAAGCCCCUAUAUUAGUUCUGCUGGGCAACCAGCUAUGGCGAUAAACUGAUUUCGUAAUAAACCAUUCGGACCCGGGGGCAGUACCCGGCGCCUCCACCAAAAACUCAAACCCUGGGCAACCAGAUAUUUUGAGCUUUUCAGGGGGGCGAAACAGGAUCGACGAGGGUGUAAAGGAUCUACUUUCGCUCGGCAUGGUUCCGCCGUUAUCGGGCCAUAUGAUAGUUGCAAAUGACAACUACGCUGAGGCUCGUCUCGCUGCGUAAGCAGUGCGACGGUUUCAAAUUAAGUCCUGAGGGUUAGCACUUUUAGGCGGGGUUCGGAGGCACCUGGCAACAGAAGCCUCCACU